UGAGGCCUGUCCAGCCCCCACUCCUCCUCAUCACGGCCUGAACUAGUUCUUCAGGUUUCUCUGGAAUCCCUUUGGCCCAGAGGCGGGGUCCACGCGAUCGGCUGUGGGGCUUAGAAUUUUAUUCUUGGUUUACGGCAGCUUUAGGGAGGUGCUCUGAGACCCGAAACUAGACUCGACUUUAACAGACACAGACGACCCUGAAGAUGGAAAUGUUUUCUUCCAAAUUGUGCUGCACGUUUUUGGCGAGAGCAUGGGGCUGUGCGGCGUCCCCUCCCUGGCGCCCACCUGUGCCCUGCACACUGGCCUGCACUGUGGUGAUCUCGCUUGGCCCCCACCUGAUUCCCGACAUACAGCAGAGGAAGCUUAGGCUCAGGUGGAACAGCCUCAACUGAUUCUGUCCCUGAACUUCCGUACACAGCCCUGGAGUCGUCUUAGAGCCAUGAUUUAUUUAACUGUUCUUUCAUUUUACAGAACAUAAAAUGUAUUGUUUCCAACUUUUUUCCUAUGGUAAAUAAUACUAAAGUAAAUAUCUCUGUGCAUGAAUCUUUUUGUAUAUGUUGGAAUAUCCUUAAGAUAAGGCCCCAGAACUAAAAGUACCCUGUCAAAAGGUGAGCAUUUCCGGUUCCCCUGCUGUGCUUUGCUGCGUUGUUCUCUCCUGCUGCAACGUUCUCACUCCACAAUCCUGGGGCAGGGAGGGGAGGCCCAGCUGAGUUUGGAUCAUAAUCCUGAAAGACACAAUCCCAAGCACCAUAAUGUGGAAUGUUGAAAUCCCUAAAGAUCAAAAUCCCUCAAGUCUAAAAUCCCUGAUAUUUCAGAUGACCACAGCUACAGGGCUAGGUGCACACAAUUAGUAACCGUAGCGAUAUACGUGUACACGUUUCUCUUUUGACUUAUUUCUUUAUGGUCUGUCUUCUUAUAACUGCUACACCCAUGCCGCCGUCGUUAGUUACCUCAGUGUUUAUGCAAAAAUACCUGUUAUCAUUGCCUAUUUUAUUGUGUAAAGUGGCCUAUGAAAUGUUCUGUUGUGUUUUUAUGUUUCUCAAAUACAUACCUUUUAAAAAUGUAAAUAAAUAACAUCGACAUUAUUUUUUCCAGAUUUAUACUUUUGGGAUUUUGAUCUUUGGGAUUUCAGGAUGAGGUAUUCGGAGCUGUGUCUUUGGGGAUGAUGACCGGCUCCUGUGCCGUCCCACCCAUCUUUGCGGCAUGGGACCUUGGCAUCCCCACCUCGGCCCUGGCUCUACCUGACCUCACAAUGGACCAGGCCAACUCAGUCAAUGUGGAGUCAGCAUCAGGUAGACCUGGGGCUGAAACUCAACACUGGUGUUCACCUUGACCUAGCUUCUCUGAGCCUCAAGUUCCUCAUCUGGACACCAGUGGGGUUAGGGGCUGAGGCACAUCAGCACUAAGCAGGAGAGCUCAUCGUUGCCAUGCAUCAGCUGUGGCUCUAGAGCCGAGACGCUCCCAGCCGUGUAGGCUUCCCAGCAGUGCAGGCCCCUCUCUAGAGCUGAGAUGCUCCCGGCAGUGCAGGCCCCUCUCUAGAGCCGAGACGCUCCCAGCCGUGUAGGCCCCUCUAGAGCCAAGACGCUGCAGGGUUAAUCAGGGCUGCCCAACAGUCCAUCCCCUCUUCUCUCUCUGAAAUCAAGAAACAUUCCGAAUUCCAAAAUGCAACUGGUCCCAAGUGUUUCAGUUAAGGGACUGUGGCCCUGUGUAAUGCCAGGCAGUGACAAGGACUGUGACUGGGAGCCAUCGUAAGUCGAUGCUGAAUGCCAAAGGGAGGAAAGGAGGCAGCGGUCCUUAAAGGGCCCACUGAGCUCAGAUCCCACGCCUGAGCCUCCGCCUCUCCGUGCAGUCCCGGAGAUGGCACACAGCCUUCUGCACGAACCGCAAUGAGCUGGGCUCCCUCAUCACCGCUAGGAGCACUCUGAGAAAGCAGGGCCAUUCCACGGGGUUCUGCAGGAGAACGGCGAAGGGUGCUGUUCAACCUGCUCAGUCAGUUGCUAGGUGAGGAGAAUUUAGUAUUCAUAAGUGAAAAUUUCUAAGUUACUGGAAUUAAUUAUGGGGUUUGAUUCUACAUCAUCCAGAAAAGCCUGGAUGCCACACAGACUCAAUGCUGAAAGCUCCCAGUGCACCUGCACAAACACACCCACACAUGCACCCAUAUCAUAUACACACGUGCAAACAUGUUCACAUUCACACUCACUCCUACAUACUCGGAUCAUAUACACAUUUGUGCACACGUGUUCAUAUUCACACUCCUACACACCCAGAUCAUACACACAAACACACACUUGUGCAUACACAUUCAUGCUCACUCCCACACACCCAGAUCAUAUACACACUCGUGCACACAUGCUCACAUUCACAAUCACUCAUACCCAGAUCAUACACACACUUAUGCACACAUUCACACUCACUCAUACAUACACAGAUCAUAUACAUACUUGCGCAUACGUGUUCGUAUUCACACUCCACACCCAGAUCAUACACACAUACACACACUUGUGCAUACACAUUCAUGCUCACUCCUACACACCCAGAUCAUAUAUACACUCGUGCACACAUGUUCACAUUCAUGCUCACUCAUACACACCGAUUGUACACUCGUGCACACAUUCACACUCAUACACACCCAAAUCAUAUAUUCAUGCACACAUGUUCACAUUCAUGCUCACUCAUACACACCCAGAUCAUAUAUACACUCGUGCACACAUUCACACUCAUACACACCCAAAUCAUACUCACAUUCAUGCACACAUGUUCACUCAUGCUCACUCAUACACACCCAGAUCAUAUAUACACUCGUGCACACAUGUUCACAUUCACUCAUACACAGCCCAAAAUAUACACAUUAAUGCACACAAUACAUAUUCAUACUUGCACACACCCAAAUCAUAUACCCACUCACACACACAUGUUCACAUUCACACUCAUACACACUCAGAUCAUAAAUACAUAUGUACACAUUCACAUUCAUACCCCCAAAUCAUACGCACACUAGUGUAUACAUGUACACACUCACACACACAAAUCAUACACACUCAUACACACAGUCAUACACACUCACACAUACCCCCAAAUCAUAUACACACUCAUGCACACCAAAUGUAA